rnacentral:misc_RNA from 1 species
GAUGAAGAACGUAGCGAAAUGCGAUAAGUAGUGUGAAUUGCAGAAUUCAGUGAAUCAUCGAAUCUUUGAACGCACAUUGCGCCCCUUGGUAUUCCAUGGGACAUGCCUGUUCGAGCGUCAUUUGUACCUUCAAGCUUUGCUUGGUGUUGGGUGUUUGUCUCGCCUUUGCGUGUAGACUCGCCUUAAAAUAAUUGGCAGCCGGCGUAUUGAUUUCGGAGCGCAGUACAUCUCGCGCUUUGCACUCAUAACGACAGCGUCCAAAAGUACAUUUUACACUCUUGACCUCGGAUCAGGUAGGGAUACCCGCUGAACUUAAGCAUAUCAAUAAGCGGAGGA